rnacentral:rRNA from 1 species
CACGUAGUUAGCCGGGGCUUUCUGGUAAGGUACCGUCAAGGUACCGACAUAUUACUUCGAUACUUGUUCUUCCCUAACAACAGAGUUUUACGAUCCGAAGACCUUCAUCACUCACGCGGCAUUGCUCCGUCAGACUUUCGUCCAUUGCGGAAGAUUCCCUACUGCUGCCUCCCGUAGGAGUCUGGGCCGUGUCUCAGUCCCAGUGUGGCCGAUCACCCUCUCAGGUCGGCUACGCAUCGUUGCCUUGGUGAGCUUUUAUCUCACCAACUAGCUAAUGCGCCGCAGGUCCAUCUGUAAGUGACAGCAAAAGCCGCCUUUUAUCUUGCAACCAUGAGGUUGCAGGUUUUAUUCGGUAUUAGCACCGGUUUCCCGGAGUUAUCCCAAGCUUACAGGCAGGUUACCCACGUGUUACUCACCCAUCCGCCGCUCAUUCCACGAGUCGUCACCUCCGAAGAGGAUCAGUCUCGCUUCCUGCGCACGACUUGCAUGUAUUAGGCAUGCCG